rnacentral:rRNA from 1 species
AAGGUUAAAACUCAAAUGAAUUGACGGGGGCCCGCACAAGCGGUGGAGCAUGUGGUUUAAUUCGAUGCAACGCGAAGAACCUUACCUACCCUUGACAUCUACAGAAGCCGGAAGAGAUUCUGGUGUGCCUUCGGGAACUGUAAGACAGGUGCUGCAUGGCUGUCGUCAGCUCGUGUUGUGAAAUGUUGGGUUAAGUCCCGUAACGAGCGCAACCCUUGUCCUUAUUUGCCAGCGAGUAAUGUCGGGAACUCUAAGGAGACUGCCGGUGACAAACCGGAGGAAGGUGGGGACGACGUCAAGUCAUCAUGGCCCUUACGGGUAGGGCUACACACGUGCUACAAUGGCCGGUACAAAGGGCUGCGAGCUCGCGAGAGUCAGCGAAUCCCUUAAAGCCGGUCUCAGUCCGGAUCGGAGUCUGCAACUCGACUCCGUGAAGUCGGAAUCGCUAGUAAUCGUGUAUCAGAAUGUCACGGUGAAUACGUUCCCGGGCCUUGUACACUCCCCCGUCACACCAUGGGAGUGGACUGCACCAGAAGUGGUUAGCCUAACGCAAGAGGGCG